rnacentral:rRNA from 1 species
UGGGGAAUCUUGCACAAUGGGGGAAACCCUGAUGCAGCGACGCCGCGUGAACGAUGAAGCCCUUCGGGGUGUAAAGUUCUUUCGACAGGAACGAUAAUGACGGUACCUGGAGAAGAAGCUGCGGCUAACUACGUACCAGCAGCCGCGGUAAUACGUAGGCAGCGAGCGUUGUUCGGAGUUACUGGGCGUAAAGAGUGCGUAGGCGGCGAGCCAAGUUUGGUGUGAAAUCUACCGGCUUAACCGGGAGGGUGCGCCGAAAACUGGGUGGCUGGAGUAUGGGAGAGGAAAGCGGAAUUCCUGGUGUAGCGGUGAAAUGCGUAGAUAUCUGGAAGAACACCAGUUG